UCGUGUAGCGGUAGAAGUUACAGUCCUUGACAGAGAUGAAAAGAUUGGGGAUGGAAUUAAAGAAUAACUAUGCGGCAGAAGGAGACAGAAUAGGAGAGUUGGUGUGACGACGACUGGGGUGGAACGAGCGUUAAGACGGUUGUUGGUGGUGGUGGUGGUGGAGAUGGAAAUUGGGAUAGGCAGGGAGACAACGAUUAUUUUUGUUUCAUAUCAGCAGGCGCGAUACUUGCCAAUGAAUUGUUGAAAUAUAUGAACAUUUUGAUUAGAUUUCUAAGAAUUCAAGUCAAAACUGCAAUAACUUUUUUAAACAAAAAAUAUAAAAAAUUUAUAAAAUUUUUAUAUAAUUUUUUUUUAAAAAA
rnacentral:lncRNA from 1 species